CAGCCGCCGCGGGAAUACGAAGGGGGCUAGCGUUGCUCGGAAUGACUGGGCGUAAAGGGCGCGUAGGCGGAUUGCGCAGUCAGAUGUGAAAUUCCUGGGCUUAACCUGGGGGCUGCAUUUGAGACGCGUAGUCUAGAGUGUGAAAGAGGGUCGUGGAAUUCCCAGUGUAGAGGUGAAAUUCGUAGAUAUUGGGAAGAACACCGGUGGCGAAGGCGGCGACCUGGUUCAUAACUGACGCUGAGGCGCGAAAGCGUGGGGAGCAAACAGGAUUAGAUACCCGUGUAGUCCCUGUCUCUUAUAA
rnacentral:rRNA from 1 species